GACGAACGCUGGCGGCGUGCCUAACACAUGCAAGUCGAGCGAUGAAGUUCCCUUCGGGGGAUGGAUUAGCGGCGGACGGGUGAGUAACACGUGGGCAACCUGCCUCAUAGUGGGGGAUAGCCUCCCGAAAGGGAGAUUAAUACCGCAUAAGAAGUGGAAACCGCAUGGUUUCAGCUUUAAAGGAGUAAUCCGCUAUGAGAUGGGCCCGCGGCGCAUUAGCUAGUUGGUAAGGUAAUGGCUUACCAAGGCAACGAUGCGUAGCCGACCUGAGAGGGUGAUCGGCCACAUUGGAACUGAGAUACGGUCCAGACUCCUACGGGAGGCAGCAGUGGGGAAUAUUGCACAAUGGGGGAAACCCUGAUGCAGCAACGCCGCGUGGGUGAUGAAUGUCUUCGGAUUGUAAAGCCCUGUCUUUUGGGACGAUAAUGACGGUACCAAAGGAGGAAGCCACGGCUAACUACGUGCCAGCAGCCGCAGUAACAC
rnacentral:rRNA from 1 species